CAUAGAGCGAUAAAGAGUAGGUGUAUCUUUUCUGAAUUUACUAUUACUUUUAUUAUCUAUGGUGGUUAAUUAUUUUACGGCGUGCUCACUUGUUCCAAUUUGCCAUUUUAUUUCUAUUCAUUACAUUUUCUCUCCAUUGAGUGACGAGUCGUUUAAUAUUGUUUGGAAUGCCUCGCUAGUGUGGUUCUUUCGUUAAAGAACAAAUCUUUUUUAAAAAUAAGAGCUGGUGCUCCACUCGAUGAAAGAGCAAACUUUCAUUUGGAACAGUUUAAAUGCUCAAAAUCGAGGUAUCCAUUUGAUACUAGGUAGUCAGAAGUUUUAUCAUUCUCUUGUGAUGAUUCGAUUACUAAACACGACAAAAUAUUGCAAUGCGUAUGUAUGCAACAAUGUAUGCAGUACUCUGUGGUAGCACAAUUUAUAUUUCUUGCCUGUACCAUUGCGGCAAAUCAACAAUACAUAUAAAACUAUUAUACAUAUUCAGGGUUCUUUAAUAUAUGAGUUUAUUAUUAUUAUAAUUAUUAUUAUUAUUUUAUUAUUAUUAUUAUUAUUACUAUUACUUUAUCAUUUCCAUCAGUACCAUCUACAUUGAUACGAUCGUUUCCAUUCUCGUCAUUACCAUUACUAUGAAGUUCAUGAUUCUUACUAUUAAUAUCGUUGCUGUUGCUGCUACAAAUACUGCUAAAUCAACUAAUUAUCAUUAUCAUCUUUUACAAUGUGAUCGUGGUUAAAGGUUCAUAAAGUUAUUAACGUGAAUAUCAUUUUUAUGCAGCUUAUUAUCCCUUGCAGUUAUCAUUACUUCUACUUAUUCUUGUACAUCAGAUUAUUUUUCUUUCUCCUUAUUUUGCUAUUAUUGCAAUGGUUACCAAACGAUUGCUACUGGUAUUGCUAUUAUUCAUGACUUACUUUCUAUAAUACUACCCUCAUUAUUACUAAUAUAUUAUUACUACUAUUCCUAUUUCUAUUAUUGCUACUGUUAUUGAUAUUAAUACCGUUUCUUUAUUUAUUAUUCUUAUUAUCAUUGAUACAAUCAUUAUAGUGUUCACCAUGGCUGUCUUCACAAAAUUCUCAUUUCCAUUGAAAUCAUCCCAUUGAGUCGUCGUCACUAAUUGAUUAUUACUACAAUUAUUACUAUUGCUACUACCACUACUACAACUGCUGCUACUACUAUUACUACUACUAUCACUACCAUUGCUACUAUUACUAUUAUAGUUCGUUAUUGUAAUGAUACAUUAUGUUAUAUUAUUAUACUAUAUUACAUUAUAUUAUAUUACAAUUAUUAAUUGUUCAUUUUCAAGUUAACUCUUAAAGGCAUUUCAAUGAAAAAAAAGAUUCUUAUUUUUUAAUAUAAAGUUAAGCUGUAAUAUUCGGCACAUGAAUAUAAUAAAAAGCAUGGUUCACUAUUAAUGGAUGACUAUAGAUUCAUUGUCAGUGAAAGUAAAUAAAUGAUGUGUAUACUGGUUUGUUAAAUAAGUGUUGCAAUCUUGCAAGACCCAUUCCCUUAACUACGUAGUGUGUUUUUAUUUUCUAUUUUUUUUUCUCUUGGAUGGACAUGUAUAUAAUAGUGGCUGUCUUUUAUAUUUGCGCAUGGUAUUUUAAGGUGCACAGUCGUAUAUAUUAUUUAAUAUAUGUAUUGAAUAUAUGUCUAUUAUACUUAUGCACGUUCAGGUUUAGUCCUUUAUUAUUGAAAUGCACCGCUGACAGAUCUGUAAAGACUGACGAUUCGAACAUGGUGAACGGAGUGGACGAGGCUGUCUCAAGUGCACACACAACGGAAGAUUCUGAACAAGUAUCUAGGUGUGAAUGUAAUGUCCCUACUGCCUCACAAAAUUCCCAGUCACAAGCUGGAGUGACUUCUACCUUCCCUGUAGAUCUUACAAGACCGAGUUAUGCCCAAGUAGCACAGCACUGUCGCGAACUACCUUGUACAAAACAUAAGACAGAUGAAAGGGAUGGAAAUGUAUAAAUCAAUACAUACUACAGCAGCGAAUUUCGAUAAUUAGCUGUUAUUCUUCAUCUGGAUUAUAUGGAUUAUGUACCACUGCUUUUUAUCCUACAUCGGAUAUAGUGGGUAUGAAGAAAACUUUUUACAUUGUACAGUGACACUUCGCCUACAAUGAAUGGUGGUAUCGAUUAACUAUAUAAACGAUUAUCGACAAAAGAAAAAAAAUUAUUUGAAGAGACUCUAAUUCGCUGCAUAUUUAAACUGAAAAAAAAGAACAAAAAAAUACGUUUGCUGGCAGGAUAAUACAUUGCGUAGAAGAGUAUUGUUAUUGCUUUGGUUCUGUGAUUUUGGAGGUAUAUAUUUGUUAGCUUGUAAAAAUGUUAAAGUAAGGUAUUAAUCUUUUAAUUCCUUUCUCCUCUCCCCUUUCAUAGCACAGGGCCGUAACUGGGAAAUGUUUAUCUUUGUGCCAAACCUUGCUAUGAGCGUACAGCUUAAUGAAUGUUCAGAGUGCAACGAAACUUUUUCUCAGACAUAAUUUCUGAUUUCAAAGAAAAUCUAUACAAACACGAAUGUGACUUUUAGAACAGAUAAAUCAUAAGGAUGCUUAUUUUGAGAAAAAGAGAUUGAUUCAUUUUUGUUUUCUUAUCAUUUUCUUAUUAUUUAUAGGCGAGACUGCGUACUUUCCAGAAUAUCUAUAGCAAACAAAGCAUGAACGAACAGUAUACAAACGAAAUUCCAGAAUACUACCAAGAUUCAAUUUAAAAAGACUCUAAAAACUGAAAGAGGUACAAUAAUAAUUAACUGCUCCAUGUGUGAGAUAUAAACUACUCGUGGUCUCACACGACUGUUGCCUACAGUACUCUAGUAUACUAUCGUUGUGACGAACAAGAAUUUCGUUGUAUCUAUCAUAACAUCCAUUCUACGAUAUCAGCAGUAUAGCAAUUACAUUGUCAUCGUGCAUAUUGCUGAUAAAAGCGUAUUAUAAUUUCUCUAUAAAUAACAUUAUUUAAAUUGAGAAUAAUUAGUUCUUCUAGAAUAAUUAGCUUCUGUUUUCACGCAUACGAAUCACAGGUUGAUUGAUGUUGGUUUGUUAUAUUUUCUCUAUUUUGUUUUCUAUGCAUUUGAUAAUUAAUAAAGACGUUCAGUCUACCAAGACUCACCUAUUUCGCCGUAAUAAUAUCUAAGGCAAGAAUGGAAAUCCGGUAUACUUAUAAGAAAUUACCUGUAAUGUUUAUAAGAACAGAAUAUAUGCAAGAAAAUAGAAUAACACAGGAAAUUUAUAAGUGAGAACAACAGGAUAUUUCGAAAAUAUAACAUUCCAUUGAUCCAAAUAAUCUUUUGCCUCGACUAAAGAGCUUUAAAAUUAUUUUCCAGGUGAAUCAAAAAUAUUAAUAAUAACAAACCAAUUGUUCGUUAUUAAUAUUCUGGAAAUGAUAUGAAAUAGAUUUUAAUAUUUCGUUUCGUUCAUUUUGAAUGAAAAAGAGCGAAGAAGCUAAUUGUUAUCGGCGGUCUUUAGGCACCUAUUUACGGCACUGACCUUUUCUUUUUAAUAUUAUACUGUUAUAUAAGAUAACAUACGAUUUAGAAUUAUGCUUUGGCAAGUAAUAUAAGAGUUGUCAAAAGUAUGGUCUUUGAGCACACGUUUAAGUGCCUCAAAAUGUUGUGAAUAUUACAGGAGCUUGGCUUUAGAUGUUAUAUAAUUACAUGUACCUAUACAUUAUAGUAAAGAAGCGCAUAUGAUAUAUUUGUUACUGAUAUGCGUAAAGAAAAUCGAAGUAAUACGGAUAUUAAAGGGAAAAAACCAAUCUCCUGAACUAUAAAACAAUUACCAACGUGUAUAAUUAUAUUUUACAUUUACGAUACUGCCUUUUCAUUUUCUUUUUAUAUAUCCGAAAUGAUUAGUCACUAACGUUGGGUACGCAGAAGAAAUUUGUUGUCGAAUUGUAAACGGAUUAGGAUUAUCAUUACUAAUUGUUUCAAUUUAAAUCGUGGUGCUGUAAAACACUUUGCUUUAGCCUCAGUCUUCUAGCACAACUUACAUUGAUCGACGAUACCUUGAGAAAAUUUUGAUGUAACGCGGUCGAUUACAUCGAGAAAUAAGUAUGGAUAUAUUUAACGUAAACGUACGUAAAAAAAAUACGAAUAUCUUUUCAUUAGUAAAUUCACUCGUUUCAAGUUGUUUUGUAUCUUCUAAUAUCAUUUCGUAUUUGAUGUGUGGAUUUAUUAUAUUUUUUUUUGGUUUGAUUAUCGUUCUAUUUUAUUUUAUUGUCCUCUUGAUACGACGCAUGAUGUGAAAUGGGAUAAACGGAGCUUGAACACUUUCCAAGGAAAGCGAAACUUGCUUUUAAACUUUCCUCGAUGACUUUCUUUUCUGAACUCGUGUGAUGUAAUAUCUCAGUGAAUAUGCAAUAGUACGUUAAUGUCACACCACCUUUAAUUAUGCCAAUAAAUAACGAAUGUCCAAUUAUCGCCAGUAAUGUAAAAAGAAAAGUGUGCAUCGUAUUGUACAGUAUUUUUAAUUCAACCGAAAUCAACUUUUUCUUCAGCUCUAAAUAUAUAUUUUAAUGUUUUAAUAUCGUACGGAAUCAAUUAAAGAAGGAACGUUUAAUAAUUACAUGGUAACAGUAAUCAAUCAGUCAAUUAAUUUUCUUAGUUUAUACAUAAUGUACAUUGCAUAGUGUGAAUUUACUGAUAAAAAGAUUUAAUAUAGAUACGAAAGAUACAGAUACACAUACAUGUACGUAUAUAUAUAAAUACAUAUAUAUAUAUAUAUAAAAAUUGGAUAAGCAUUAAUAUUUCUCGAUAAUGGAGUUUUUAGAGGAACGUAAAUAAUGUUGAAGUAAUUUUGUCCUUACUUUAUGCGUUAUCCUAUAAAUUAUGUAUAGCUAAUUAUGUGUAUGCUUUGAAUAUUCAUUUUAAUUAUCGCUGCGGAUUAUAUGUAAAAAAAAUUUGAAAGUUGAUUCCUCUCUAUACAUUGUCUUUACUAAAUGUAUGGAACUUAAAUGUAAGCAGAUGAUAAAACUGUUGGUAUAUUAUAUUAUACCUGUACAAUACAAAGUGAGAAAUAGACGCGCCAAUACCUUGGAUCCUGACGAUCGCCAGUUUUCUCACUAGUAACUGACUCAUUACUUUGUAAAAUCGUAUGCACAUGAUGAAACUUGUUGUCUUCGCCGUUUUGAGAAAAUUCGGUAUAGUGACGAAACUGUUUUUACUAUCGGUAUAACUAAAAAAGAGGAGUUUAUAAUGAUUUCAAGUUGACGAAUGGUUCUACGUGGUCCAGGGUAAGGGUAGCAUACUGAGAGCAAAAAUUGUGAUUGGAAUGUAUGAAAGAAGAAGAAGAGAAGGUAUAUUAGAACUCUGUUCAUUUUUACUAAUCUCGUCACAGAGUCGGUGGCUGAUAAACUUACGUUAAACUCAUUCAUCAGAAUAAAACUGUGAUUAGAUUGAAGUCCAACAGAAAUACAAUGUAUAAUGUACUCCGUUUUAUAGGCUUACAGGGCCUAGAAAGUCUGAUUUUUUAACUACUACGAAGAAAACUUGUGUAUUAUAAUAUGAUCUAUAAUGUUUGUUUAUUACUAUGUAAAGUCACAGAUUUCAAAAUUAAACAUUAAUUACUGUUAUUGAUUUUUUGCUUUUACUUUAAUAACUAUAAAUCUCGCAUUGCAUUCACGUUGUUUCAUUCGUUAAGAGAUUUGUAUAGAUGCAGUCUAGAACGAAAUAUGGCCUAGCGUUUGUGAAUAUUAUUAAAGAAAAAGAAUAAAAUAAAAUAGAGUGUAAAACCGAGGUAUUCCGGUAAAUACGGUGGUAAUUGAUGUAUUUGUAUACAUACGAAGAGAACCAUUUCUGCAUGUAAUUUUAUUCAGGGCACGAAGAAACUGCCAAUAUCUUUAAAACAAGAGACUGACAGUGUCUUUACACAAAAGAUGCAGAUUCGAUUUAAAAUUGCGUGACAUCUUGAUUAUUGUUCCACAAAAGACGUAACAAUUGUUUCGCAUAUACAGAGCCGAAAAGAUUUUGUACAUUAGAACGAAUCAAAUCAAACGAUAUGUAUCUGAUAUAAUAUUACCUACCGGCGAAAUGAUUCGCGGUACAUGAAACAUUACCUCAUCGAUGGUACGCGUUACUUUCAAAUCAUGUGGAUAGUAGUUACGUACAUUGAUUCUGUAACAUGACUAUUUCAUAAUGUAUAAACCGACGGCGGGGAAAUAAGCUUGAAUCGUUAUUAACAUUAGUCGCGAGGAAACAAACUUAAAACAAAUAUUAUUUUACGAAUUACGACGUCAAUACCUAUUAAUGAUGUACAAUCACAACGUAUAAUCAUUUAAUACUUUGUCUUCCUUUACAUUUUGUAUAUUGUUGAUAGAAAUUAACGUCAAUUACUAUAGGUUCUCAUUUCCGCUUGUUUAAGCAUGAAAACACGUUUGUAGUACACGUAGCGAUAGGACCUUACCGUUUCACCUGAGUGUCCGUUUCCUAACGUGUAAAGAAUAGUAUUUAUUUGUAUUUGACGUUUUAUGUUACUUACAUGCGAACGGGAAAAGAGAAUUAUAGCACAAAUGUUCAACGAGAAUAAGUAAAUCCUUUCUUUAUCAAAAUGUGCAAGGCGACAAUAUUAAAAGCGUAUCGAAAGUAAUUAUUUUUGCGACGUUCGAAGUAUAAUUAUUUUGUUCCUUGAAUACAAAAGAAGAAAUGGGAAAUAUUUUUAAUUGUACUAUGCUUAUGAUACUAUUAGUAUGUUGUAUUAAAAUAUCCAAAGUUGAAACUCUCGGGAAAUGCUGCAUUUUUCAAUACGCAUCACGUUAAUAACCGGUUUGAUGAUUUCAAAUGAGGUGUGAAAUGUGUACAGAGAACGAUUAUGGAACGGUACACGAGUUUUUCUUAAACCAUUUGUAACUACUGAAUUGACCACUUUUGCAAACGAGCGUAGAGUAAAAUUAAAAUAAGGAACCGAGUAAACUACUGAAUUAAAUUGCAUCUAGCGCCUGAGAUAUUAUCGAUCCAUAAACAUACAUCAUUAUAUAUGUAUUAAGGGAGAAAAGAGAGAGAACAAAAAACGAAGCAAAUACUAAAACAGCGACAAAUACUUUGUUACUCUUGUAUUUAUAAACUAAUUUGAUAAUCGAACAUUCCUGAUGAAAGAGGUCUUCGUUGGUAUUCUGCGUAUCUCGCAUGUCAUGUUAUAUCCUCGAUAAAGAAAAUUGCAAAUUGUAAAUAAGAUUUGUUUAUCAUAGUAGGCACUGGACUACAAUGUCUAAAAGUAUAAUCGGAUCGGCAAGGUUCCCGGAAAGUAUAAGCAAAUGUAUUUUCGAUGCGUUCAUAGGUGAUUCGCGACCUUUCAACUGUACCGUGUAAUGUUAAAUCGUUUAUGUUCGGACGGAAACCGGCGCAGUAAAUCUGAAUUGCUUUCGAAAUGUUGGAAAACUAAACCAUGCUUUGUCACGAGUGACAUCGAGUUCAAACGAAAUUUGAUCAAAGCGAUCGCGACGAGGUCUUGCACUUCAAGUAAUAUAAGAAAGAAUGUGAACGGUUGAUUGUCUUCUGACGAUCUGAGGAGAAUGCGUUGAGUUACCAGUUCAUACAAUUUCAAGUAACACGUAUAUAUAUAUGCAAUAAGUUUACCGAACUGUUAAGAUUUAUAUAUUCUGAUACACAAGAGGAAAUAAUUUUUCAACUAUAAGAAUUCCACUGCAAUAAAAAUGAUGACAAAUGUGACAUGAACUACGCGAUGUAUUUUAUUAUAAUAACAUUAAUUGAUACAUAUUUGGGUCCAAACCUUUUGCUUAGAGAAAUAUAUGAACGCUCUUCGAUUAUAUAUAUGAUUUGAACGGUUGCCUGCUUGAGUUACGAAUCGGUGGAUUUCCACACACACACACAUAUACGCAUGUACACUGCGAACUUAAAGAGUCAAUUUGAGAAAUCGUUUA